rnacentral:rRNA from 1 species
GACGAACGCUGGAGGCGUGCUUAACACAUGCAAGUCGAACGAUGAAAUGGAGCUUGCUCCAUGGAUUAGUGGCGAACGGGUGAGUAACACGUGAAUAACCUGCCCUUAAUUUUGGAAUAACCCAGGGAAACCUGGGCUAAUACCGGAUAAGUAAACCUGUGGCAUCACCUGGUUUUGGAAAGUUUUUCGAUUAAGGAUGGAUUCGCGGCCUAUCAGCUUGUUGGUGAGGUAAUGGCUUACCAAGGCGACGACGGGUAGCCGGCCUGAGAGGGUGAACGGCCACACUGGGACUGAGACACGGCCCAGACUCCUACGGGAGGCAGCAGUGGGGAAUAUUGCGCAAUGGACGAAAGUCUGACGCAGCGACGCCUCGUGAGGGACGAAGGUCUUCGGAUUGUAAACCUCUUUCAGCAGGGACGGAGCGAAAGUGACGGUACCUGCAGAAGAAGCACCGGCUAACUAUGUGCCAGCAGCCGCCGUAA